rnacentral:rRNA from 1 species
AGAGUUUGAUCCUGGCUCAGGAUGAACGCUAGCGGCAGGCCUAACACAUGCAAGUCGAGGGGUAGGUGGUGCUUGCACCACUGAGACCGGCGCACGGGUGCGUAACGCGUAUGCAACCUGCCCUCUACAGGGGAAUAGCCCAGGGAAACUUGGAUUAAUGCCCCAUGGCACCGUUUUUCCGAUUGGAUUUUCGGUUAAAGCUACGGCGGUAGGGGAUGGGCAUGCGUCCCAUUAGCUUGUUGGUGCGGUAACGGCGCACCAAGGCGACGAUGGGUAGGGGCCCUGAGAGGGGGAUCCCCCACACUGGUACUGAGACACGGACCAGACUCCUACGGGAGGCAGCAGUGAGGAAUAUUGGACAAUGGGCGGAAGCCUGAUCCAGCCAUGCCGCGUGCAGGAAGACUGCCCUAUGGGUUGUAAACUGCUUUUGUACGGGAAGAAACCUCCCCUCGUGAGGGGAGCUGACGGUGCCGUAAGAAUAAGCAUCGGCUAACUCCGUGCCAGCAGCCGCGGUAAUACGGAGGAUGCAAGCGUUAUCCGGAAUCAUUGGGUUUAAAGGGUCCGUAGGCGGGCAAUUAAGUCAGGGGUGAAAGUCUGCGGCUCAACCGUAGGACUGCCCUUGAUACUGGUUGUCUUGAAUGGUUGUGAAGCGGUUAGAAUGAGCAGUGUAGCGGUGAAAUGCAUAGAUAUUGCUCAGAAUACCGAUUGCGAAGGCAGAUCGCUAACAACGCAUUGACGCUGAGGGACGAAAGCGUGGGGAGCGAACAGGAUUAGAUACCCUGGUAGUCCACGCCGUAAACGAUGGAUACUAGCUGUCCGGCCUUCGGGCUGGGUGGCCAAGCGAAAGUGAUAAGUAUCCCACCUGGGGAGUACGUUCGCAAGAAUGAAACUCAAAGGAAUUGACGGGGGCCCGCACAAGCGGUGGAGCAUGUGGUUUAAUUCGAUGAUACGCGAGGAACCUUACCAGGGCUUAAAUGCAGUCCGACAGGGGUGGAAACACCCUUUUCUUCGGACGGAUUGCAAGGUGCUGCAUGGUUGUCGUCAGCUCGUGCCGUGAGGUGUCAGGUUAAGUCCUAUAACGAGCGCAACCCUUGCCGUUAGUUGCCAGCAUGUAAAGAUGGGAACUCUAACGGGACUGCCGGUGCAAACCGCGAGGAAGGUGGGGAUGACGUCAAAUCAUCACGGCCCUUACGUCCUGGGCCACACACGUGCUACAAUGGCCGGUACAGAGGGCAGCCACGCCGCAAGGCGGAGCGAAUCCUUAAAACCGGUCUCAGUUCGGAUCGGGGUCUGCAACUCGACCCCGUGAAGCUGGAAUCGCUAGUAGUCGGAUAUCAGCCAUGAUCCGGUGAAUGCGUUCCCGGGCCUUGUACACACCGCCCGUCAAGCCAUGGAAGCCGAGGGUACCUGAAGUCGGUGACCGCAGGGAGCUGCCUAGGGUAAAACCGGUAACUGGGGCUAAGUCGUAACAAGGUAACCA